rnacentral:rRNA from 1 species
UACGUAGGGUGCAAGCGUUGUCCGGAAUUAUUGGGCGUAAAGAGCUCGUAGGCGGUUUGUCGCGUCGAAUGUGAAAACCCGGGGCUCAACUCCGGGCCUGCAUUCGAUACGGGCAGACUAGAGUUCGGUAGGGGAGACUGGAAUUCCUGGUGUAGCGGUGAAAUGCGCAGAUAUCAGGAGGAACACCGGUGGCGAAGGCGGGUCUC